GACGAACGCUGGCGGCGUGCUUAACACAUGCAAGUCGGACGGUGAAGCGCCUUCCUUUUUGGUGGGUGUGGAUGAGUGGCGAACGGGUGAGUAACACGUGAGUAACCUGCCCCCUUCUUCUGGAUAACCGCAUGAAAGUGUGGCUAAUACGGGAUAUUCUGGGUCUGUCGCAUGAUGGGUCUGGGAAAGAUAUUGUUUCGGUGGGGGAUGGGCUCGCGGCCUAUCAGCUUGUUGGUGGGGUGAUGGCCUACCAAGGCGGUGACGGGUAGCCGGCCUGAGAGGGUGGACGGUCACACUGGGACUGAGACACGGCCCAGACUCCUACGGGAGGCAGCAGUGGGGAAUAUUGCACAAUGGGCGCAAGCCUGAUGCAGCGACGCCGCGUGAGGGAUGGAGGCCUUCGGGUUGUGAACCUCUUUCGCCAGUGAAGCAGGCCUGCCUCGUUUGUGGGUGGGUUGACGGUAGCUGGAUAAGAAGCGCCGGCUAACUACGU
rnacentral:rRNA from 1 species